rnacentral:rRNA from 1 species
AUCAGGUAGGGAUACCCGCUGAACUUAAGCAUAUCAAUAAGCGGAGGAAAAGAAACCAACAGGGAUUGCCUCAGUAACGGCGAGUGAAGCGGCAAGAGCUCAAAUUUGAAAGCUGGCCCCCUUGGGGUCCGCAUUGUAAUUUGCAGAGGAUGCUUCGGGAGUGGCCCCCAUCUAAGUGCUCUGGAACGGGCCGUCAUAGAGGGUGAGAAUCCCGUAUGGGAUGGGGUGUCCGCGACCAUGUGAAGCUCCUUCGACGAGUCGAGUUGUUUGGGAAUGCAGCUCUAAAUGGGUGGUAAAUUUCAUCUAAAGCUAAAUAUUGGCCGGAGACCGAUAGCGCACAAGUAGAGUGAUCGAAAGAUGAAAAGCACUUUGAAAAGAGAGUUAAAAAGCACGUGAAAUUGUUGAAAGGGAAGCGCUUGCGACCAGACUCGCCUGCGGGGUUCAGCCGGUAUUCGUACCGGUGUACUUCCCCGUGGGCGGGCCAGCGUCGGUUUGGGCGGCCGGUCAAAGGCCCUCGGAAUGUAACGCCUCUCGGGGCGUCUUAUAGCCGAGGGUGCCAUGCGGCCAGCCCGGACCGAGGAACGCGCUUCGGCACGGACGCUGGCAUAAUGGUCGUAAGCGACC